AGGAAUGCUCCAAAUUUGGGAAGUCCAACAAAUCUGGGAAUAAAAAUGGAUCCGCAAAUGACAAAGAGGGCUCCAGUAAGAAGGUGACCCCCACAACUCAGACGAUGAGGGUGAGACAGCCCGGUCACCGCUCAGCAGGGAAGAGGGAGAAGAGGUUAAGCACCUCCUGCUUCCCCCUCUGUACCAACAAAGAGCUGCAGAAACUACCUGCCCUAGCAGACAAAGCUUGUGCUCCUGGUAGCUGUCACCCUUUAAGCUUUGCUGCCCUCUUCUGGUUGAAACAGUAAGUAAAAAUUUUUCCUCUGUCUCAAUAACUCCGUU